GCUCUAGUCAUUCUGUGAGAGGAACUCCAGGAGACCAGAUCCAACUCGCAAUCAGCUAUAGUGAAGUUAUGAUAUGAGAAGCACCAACUUGGCACAAGACUUGGGAAAGGCAAUGAGGCAGCAGGCAAGCUUUAAGGGAUGACACUUACCUUGAGGGAGCAAGGACAAGUUGUGACCUUCCCAGUCCUCUCUCCAUUUGCAGAUCAGCAAGCUUCUGUCAGCAAGGAGGGGUGGACAAUGAAACUGGGUUCAGCUUGAUUUGUUUUUUGAGACAGGUAUGGCAAGGGGCUGCCAACAAGAAUUCCAGUUGCCCAUGAUGUCACAGGCUGAGGCCCACACUCCAGAGACACUGUGGACUGACUGGCACCUAUGAGCUGACCUAAUAACAGUUACACCAUUACAGCUCCGAUUCUACAGAACAAUACAUAUCCAGUUCUUAUCUA
rnacentral:lncRNA from 1 species